UAUUCGAUUUGACGAAAAAUUUUAAAAGGUUUUUAUGUUUUGGGAUAAAGUAAACAAGGCCUAAAAAAGCCUUCAUAACCUAACCACUUCCACUUCCACUCCCUCAUUAUUUUUUUUGCAAACUUUGUUUACUUGCUCCACUAGCAGUGCCCACCUACCUAAAUAGCUGUCCAUGCAGCUCUGUAAGAAAAAGAAAAGACGAUGACCAAAAGUCCAAUGCGCGGUCUUUAUUGUUACAUAUAUAUGUGGUGUUCAGCUUUGCCUCAGCUAGAGUAUAUUCUUGCCAUGGACCCAUAACAGCAAGAGACCUACAAUGAUGAGGAUAUCACUCCUUCAUAUACACAUAAUGAUACUCCACUGUAUAUUCAAGGUCCAAUCACAAAAGCUCGUGCGCGACAAUUAAAUUUAGAGGUAAGUUCGUUCCUAAAUAUGAUUUUGAGAAUAUAUUGCUACAUGUUGUAUUUACGAAUCAAGGAGAGAACCAGAGAACUCAUAAAGAAGGGCUUGGAGGCGUGGAGGACCAGCAAAAACAUCCAAACAAAGAUAGAGCGGCCUAGUGCAACUCGAGUUCGAGUCAGCCUCGGCCAUUAGGACCAGCCUGUAGUAAAACGGAUGCUUAGGACACAUCCGGACUCUAUUUUUGAUGAUCCACAUAUGAAUGAAAAGAUAAUUUUAUAAGCUAACCAAUGGCUUUGGUUUGAGGCCUAAAUUCCAUCGGAGUCAACAGGAAUCAUUGUAACAA